rnacentral:rRNA from 1 species
UACGAAGGUGGCAAGCGUUACUCGGAAUUACUAGGCGUAAAGGGCAGGUAGGUGGUUCGGUAAGUCUGUUGUGUAAGCUCCCGGCUUAACUGGGAGAGGUCAACGGAAACUACCGGACUUGAGUAUAGGAGAGGUUACUGGAAUUCCCGGUGUAGCGGUGGAAUGCGCAGAGAUCGGGAGGAACACCAAUGGCGAAAGCAGGUAACUGGACUAUUGCUGACACUCAGCUGCGAAAGCUAGGGGAGCAAACAGG